rnacentral:rRNA from 1 species
AAUAAUUUAUUUGAUGGUUUUUUACUACAUGGAUAACUGUAGUAAUUCUAGAGCUAAUACAUGCGUAAAAUCCCGACUCUCGCGGGGAGGGAUGUAUUUAUUAGAUAAAAAACCAAUGCGGCCUUUGGCCGGUUUUGUGGUGAAUCAUAGUAACUUUUCGAAUCGCAUGGCUUCACGCCGGCGAUAGUUCAUUCAAAUUUCUGCCCUAUCAGCUUUCGACGGUAGUGUAGUGGACUACCGUGGCGUUAACGGGUAACGGAGAAUUAGGGUUCGAUUCCGGAGAGGGAGCCUGAGAAACGGCUACCACA